rnacentral:rRNA from 1 species
AGUGAAUAGAUACCCCGGUAGUCCACGCUGUAAACGAUGAGUGCUGGACGUUGGCGGGUUUACCUGCCGGUGUCGCAGCUAAACGCGUUAAGCACUCCGCCUGGGGAGUACGGCCGCAAGGUUAAAACUCAAAGGAAUUGACGGGGCCCGCACAAGCGGUGGAGCAUGUGGUUUAAUUCGACGCAACGCGCAGAACCUUACCAGCCCUUGACAUGGGCGGACGGGGUCCAGAGAUGGACUCUUUCUCGCAAGAGACCGCUACACAGGUGCUGCGAUGGCGUGUCGUCAGCUCGUGUCGUGAGAU